rnacentral:rRNA from 1 species
UGGGAAACUGGGGAUAAUACCGGAUAGGCAAUUAUUCCUGCAAUGGUUUUUUGUUUAAAUGUUUUUUCGCCUAAGGAUGGGUCUGCGGCCGAUUAGGUAGUUGGUUAGGUAAUGGCUUACCAAGCCGUUGAUCGGUACGGGUUGUGAGAGCAAGAGCCCGGAGAUGGAACCUGAGACAAGGUUCCAGGCCCUACGGGGUGCAGCAGGCGCGAAACCUCCGCAAUGUGAGAAAUCGCGACGGGGGGAUCCCAAGUGCCAUUCUUAACGGGAUGGCUUUUCAUUAGUGUAAAAAGCUUUUGGAAUAAGAGCUGGGCAAGACCGGUGCCAGCCGCCGCGGUAACACCGGCAGCUCUAGUGGUAGCAAUUUUUAUUGGGCCUAAAGCGUCCGUAGCCGGUUUAAUAAGUCUCUGGUGAAAUCCUGUAGCUUAACUGUGGGAAUUGCUGGAGAUACUAUUAGACUUGAGACCGGGAGAGGUUAGAGGUACUCCCAGGGUAGAGGUGAAAUUCUGUAAUCCUG